GAUGAACGCUGGCGGCGUGCCUAAUACAUGCCAGUCGAGCGAACGGACGAGAAGCUUGCUUCUCUGAUGUUAGCGGCGGACGGGUGAGUAACACGUGGAUAACCUACCUAUAAGACUGGGAUAACUUCGGGAAACCGGAGCUAAUACCGGAUAAUAUUUUGAACCGCAUGGUUCAAAAGUGAAAGACGGUCUUGCUGUCACUUAUAGAUGGAUCCGCGCUGCAUUAGCUAGUUGGUAAGGUAACGGCUUACCAAGGCAACGAUGCAUAGCCGACCUGAGAGGGUGAUCGGCCACACUGGAACUGAGACACGGUUCAGACUCCUACGGGAGGCAGCAGUAGGGAAUCUUCCGCAAUGGGCGAAAGCCUGACGGAGCAACGCCGCGUGAGUGAUGAAGGUCUUCGGAUCGUAAAACUCUGUUAUUAGGGAAGAACAUAUGUGUAAGUAACUGUGCACAUCUUGACGGUACCUAAUCAGAAAGCCACGGCUAACUACGUG
rnacentral:rRNA from 1 species